rnacentral:rRNA from 1 species
GUUAGUUAGGUAGGGCGCACGGUGGAUGCCUGGGCACUGAGUGUGCGAUGAAGGACGUGGGUGACUGCGAUAAGCCUCGGGGAGUUGUCGACCGAAUUGUGAUCCGAGGGUGUCCGAAUGGGGGAACCUGGCUCGCGUGAUGGCGGGUCACCAUCAUCUGAAUGUAUAGGGUGAUUGGGGUGGUGCGGGGAAGUGAAACAUCUUAGUACCCGUAGCGGAGAAAACACUGGUGUGAUUCCGUGAGUAGUGGCGAGCGAAAGCGGAGGGUGGCUAAACUGCAUGCGUGUGAGACUCGGUAGGGGUUGCGUGUGUGGGGUUGUGGGGUGCUGUUGGAUGGGUCUACCGGCCUGUCGCAUCUGUCUGUGGUGUUAGCUGAAUGGCCUGGGAGGGUCGACCGGAGUGGGUGAGAGUCCCGUAGGUGAAGGCGCCAUGGUGGGUGUGGAUGGUUGCCCCGAGUAGUGCGGUGUUCGUGGAGCUCCGUAUGAAUCUGGCGGGACCACUCGUCAAGCCUGAACGACGCUCGGUGACCGAUAGUGGAUCAGUACCGUGAGGGAAUGGUGAAAAGUACCCCGGGAGGGGAGUGAAAGAGUUCCUGAAACCGUGUGCCUGCAAUCCGUCAGAGCACCGUUAGGGGUGUGAUGGCGUGCCUUUUGAAGAAUGAGCCUGCGAGUUACGCUGCGUGGCGAGGUUAACCCGUGUGUGGGGUAGUCGGAGCGAAAGCGAGUCUGAAAGAGGCGUGGAGUCGCGUGGUGUAGGCCCGAAGCGGGGUGAGCUACCCAUGGCCAGGGUGAAGCGCGGGUAAGACCGUGUGGAGGCCCGAACCCACCUGGGUUGAAAACCGGGGGGAUGAGUUGUGGGUAGGGGUGAAAGGCCAAUCAAACCCUGUGAUAGCUGGUUCUCCCCGAAAUGCAUUUAGGUGCAGCGUCGCGUGGUUCCUGGGUGGGGUAGUGCGCUGGUUGGUCGCGGGGCCCUGUGGGUUACCAAGGUCAGCUAAACGGUGAAUACGCCUGGGUGUCAGCGUGGCAGUGAGUCGGCGGGGGCUAAGCUCCGUCGUCGAGAGGGAAACAGCCCAGAGCAUCGGCUAAGGUCCCGAAGUGUGUGCUGAGUGGGUAAGGAUGUGGGACGGCUGUGACAGCCAGGAGGUUGGCUUAGAAGCAGCCAUCCUUGAAAGAGUGCGUAAUAGCUCACUGGUCGAGUUGUUCUGCGCCGAUAAUGUAGCGGGGCUGCAAGCACACCACCGAAGCCAUGCCAAUCGCGCCCUGGUAGGGGUGUGGUUGGGUAGGGGAGCGUCCCGCACGCCGGUGAAGCAUGAUGGUGAUGUUGUGUGGAGGGUGUGGGAGUGAGAAUGCAGGCAUGAGUAGCGAGUGUAGAGUGAGAAUCUCUACCGCCGAUUGACUAAGGGUUCCUGGGGAAGGUUCGUCCGCCCAGGGUGAGUCGGGGCCUAAGGCGAGGCCGUCAGGCGUAGUCGAUGGAGAACGGGUUGAUAUUCCCGUACCCGUGCAUGCGCGCCCGUGGUGAAACCUGUGAGACUAACCGCCCACCUGCCCUGGUGGCCAUCCUUGUGGUGGUGCUGGGUGUUGGGUGCGUGGGACCUGAGUGGGGAGUAGUCAAGUGAUGGGGUGACGCAGGGAGGUAGCCCAGCCCGGGCGGUGGUUGUCCCGGGGCAAGCCUGUAGCCCGUGGUUCAGGGAAAUCCGAACCAUGUUGGGGUGAGGGGUGAUGCGGAGCCUGUGUGGUGUAGUGGGUGUGCCUGGACUGUCGAGAAAAGCCUCUAGCGAUGUGUGUGCACGGCCCGUACCCGAAACCGACACUGGUGGUCAGGUAGAGGAUACCGAGGCGGUCGGGUGAACUGUGGUUAAGGAAUUCGGCAAAUUGCCCCCGUAACUUUGGGAGAAGGGGGGCCACUGCUGGUGAACGCCCGUGCGGUGGGAGCUGGUGGUGGUCGCAGAGGCUGGGGAGAAGCGACUGUUUACUAAAAACACAGGUCCACGCGAAGCGUUGUUGCGAGGUAUGUGGACUGACGCCUGCCCGGUGCUGGAACGUUAAGAGGAGGGGUUAGUUCCCGGUACGGGGGCGAAGCUCUGAAUUGAAGCGCCAGUAAACGGCGGUGGUAACUAUAACCAUCCUAAGGUAGCGAAAUUCCUUGUCGGGUAAGUUCCGACCUGCACGAAUGGCGUAACGACUUCUCCGCUGUCUCGACCACAGGC